GACGAACGCUGGCGGCGUGCUUAACACAUGCAAGUCGAACGGAAAGGCCCUGCUUUUGUGGGGUGCUCGAGUGGCGAACGGGUGAGUAACACGUGAGUAACCUGCCCUGGACUUUGGGAUAACUUCAGGAAACUGGGGCUAAUACCGGAUAGGAGCUCCUGCUGCAUGGUGGGGGUUGGAAAGUUUCGGCGGUUGUGGAUGGACUCGCGGCUUAUCAGCUUGUUGGUGGGGUAGUGGCUUACCAACGCUUUGACGGGUAGCCGGCCUGAGAGGGUGACCGGCGACAUUGGGACUGAGAGACGGCCCAGACUCCUAUGGGAGGCAGUAGGGGGGAAUAUUGCACAAUGGGCGGAAGCGUGAUGCAGCAACGCCGCGUGCGGGAUGACGGCCUUCGGGUUGUAAACCGCUGUCGCCUGUGACGAAGCGUGAGUGACGGUAAUGGGUAAAGAAGCACCGGCUAACUACGUG
rnacentral:rRNA from 1 species